rnacentral:rRNA from 1 species
GUGGGGAAUAUUGGACAAUGGGGGGAACCCUGAUCCAGCCAUGCCGCGUGUGUGAAGAAGGCCUUUUGGUUGUAAAGCACUUUAAGUGGGGAGGAGGCUUACCUAGUUAAUACCUGGGCUAAGUGGACGUUACCCACAGAAUAAGCACCGGCUAACUCUGUGCCAGCAGCCGCGGUAAUACAGAGGGUGCGAGCGUUAAUCGGAUUUACUGGGCGUAAAGCGCGCGUAGGUGGUUAAUUAAGUCAAAUGUGAAAUCCCCGAGCUUAACUUGGGAAUUGCAUUCGAUACUGGUUGGCUAGAGUAUGGGAGAGGAUGGUAGAAUUCCAGGUGUAGCGGUGAAAUGCGUAGAGAUCUGGAGGAAUACCGAUGGCGAAGGCAGCCAUCUGGCCUAAUACUGACACUGAGGUGCGAAAGCAUGGGGAGCAAACAGGAUUAGAAACCCCGGUAGUCC